UACGUAGGGGGCGAGCGUUGUCCGAAGUUACUGGGCGUAAAGAGCGCGUAGGCGGGCUUCUAAGUGAGAGGUGAAAGGUUCGGGCUCAACCCGGAGAGUGCCUUUCAUACUGGGAGCCUUGAGUGCGGGAGAGGCAAGUGGGAAUGGUCGGUGUAGCGGUGAAAUGCGUAGAUAUCGAUCGGAACACCUGUGGCGAAGGCGGCCCCUGGUUGGAUACUGACGCCUGAUACGCGAAAGCGUGGGGAGCGAACAGG
rnacentral:rRNA from 1 species